GGGGCUGACCGGUUUUGACAGCAUGAGGGGCAGUACGUAAGCAUGCAGUGUGUGGUGGCGCGUCGCUUAAACAGUGUCACAAAACAAUAAAAGGCGAAACAAACUACGCUCUCGCUGCUUAAACGAAUAAAGUAGUUUAAGCUUCAUCUUGGCCAAGGUGCCGGGACGGGACGUCUCCCGGCGGUAAUUUCCUGAUCCAACCCGAUAUGGAGGCGCUAAUAAUACAGGGAUAGCUUGAAGGCAGUUCCGCCCCGAUAGCGAAAUAACAGGAACUAAGGGCAGGUUAGGUAGUUUUGCAUCUGGCAUGCCACGAAAACAAAGCAGGACUAAGCAUGUAGAAAGCGCAUUGGUUCCAUGUUUGGACGCGGGUUCGACUCCCGCCAGCUCCACAA
rnacentral:tmRNA from 1 species